rnacentral:rRNA from 1 species
GGGUGAGUAACAUGUGGGUAUCUACCCUUUGGCCUGGAAUAACACGAGGAAACUUGUGCUAAUACCGGAUAAGUCUUUACGGAGAAAGCUUUAUGCACCAUUGGAUGAGCCCGCACUUGAUUAGUUUGUUGGUAGGGUAAUGGCCUACCAAGACUAUGAUCAAUAGCUGAUUUGAGAGGAUGAUCAGCCACAUUGGGACUGAGACACGGCCCAAACUCCUACGGGAGGCAGCAGUGGGGAAUCUUGCACAAUGGAGGAAACUCUGAUGCAGCGAUGCCGCGUGAGUGAAGAAGGCCCUUGGGUUGUAAAGCUCUUUCGUCGGGGAAGAAAAUGACUGUACCCGAAUAAGAAGGUCCGGCUAACUUCGUGCCAGCAGCCGCGGUAAUACGAAGGGACCUAGCGUAGUUCGGAAUUACUGGGCUUAAAGAGUUCGUAGGUGGUUGAAAAAGUUGGUGGUGAAAUCCCAGAGCUUAACUCUGGAACUGCCAUCAAAACUUUUCAGCUAGAGUAUGAUAGAGGAAAGCAGAAUUUCUAGUGUAGAGGUGAAAUUCGUAGAUAUUAGAAAGAAUACCAACUGCGAAGGCAGCUUUCUGGAUCAUUACUGACACUGAGGAACGAAAGCAUGGGUAGCGAAGAGGAUUAGAUACCCUCGUAGUCCAUGCCGUAAACGAUGUGUGUUAGACGUUGGAAAUUUAUUUUCAGUGUCGCAGGGAAACCGAUAAACACACCGCCUGGGGAGUACGACCGCAAGGUUAAAACUCAAAUGAAUUGACGGGGACCCGCACAAGUAGUGGAGCAUGUGGUUUAAUUCGAAGAUACGCGCAGAACCUUACCAACACUUGACAUGUUCGUCGCGACUCUAAGAGAUUAGAGUUUUCGGUUCGGCCGGACGAAACACNGUGCUGCAUGGCUGUCGUCAGCUCGUGUCGUGAGAUGUUGGGUUAAGUCCCGCACGAGCGCAACC